rnacentral:rRNA from 1 species
UACGGAGGGUGCAAGCGUUGUCCGGAAUCACUGGGCGUAAAGGGCGCGUAGGCGGCCUGGUAAGUAGGGGGUGAAAUCCUGCGGCUUAACCGCAGGGCUGCCUUCUAAACUGUCGGGCUUGAGUACGGAAGAGGCGAGUGGAAUUCCCGGUGUAGCGGUGAAAUGCGCAGAUAUCGGGAGGAACACCAAUGGCGAAGGCAGCUCGCUGGGACGGUACUGACGCUGAGACGCGAAAGCGUGGGGAGCAAACAGG